CGGAUAACCUCACAGACCACGCGCCCACCGUCCAGACCGAGCGUAAUGCCGGCGUCCCCGACGAGGCGACGACCAGACAGGGGAGUUCGCGCUGUAAGUGUGGGGGCCGCUGGACAGGAUCAUCAUCACUGCCGGCGAGGACGCCACCAUUGGCAUCUGACACUCGGAGUUGUACAGGAAUCUUUGUAGAUGCUUGAGAACUUUAUACCCAUGGCAAAGGAAAUAUCCUUAGAUUGCAAUCAUAAA